rnacentral:rRNA from 1 species
CAGCCGCCGCGGUAAUACGGAGGGAGCUAGCGUUGUUCGGAAUUACUGGGCGUAAAGCGCACGUAGGCGGCUUUGUAAGUUAGAGGUGAAAGCCUGGAGCCCAACUCCAGAAUUGCCUUUAAGACUGCAUCGCUUGAAUCCAGGAGAGGUGAGUGGAAUUCCGAGUGUAGAGGUGAAAUUCGUAGAUAUUCGGAAGAACACCAGUGGCGAAGGCGGCUCACUGGACUGGUAUUGACGCUGAGGUGCGAAAGCGUGGGGAGCAAACAGGAUUAGAUACCCCGGUAGUCCCUGUCUCUUAUAU